rnacentral:ribozyme from 1 species
UUUUUUUUUUUUUUUUUUUUUUUUCUUCCCACCAACGUUGGCGGAAGAUCUGGAAAAUC